rnacentral:rRNA from 1 species
UACGGAGGAUGCGAGCGUUAUCCGGAGUUAUUGGGUUUAAAGGGUGCGUAGGCGGACGCUUAAGUCAGCGGUAAAAUUGCGGGGCUCAACCUCGUCGAGCCGUUGAAACUGGGUGUCUUGAGUGGGCGAGAAGUACGCGGAAUGCGUGGUGUAGCGGUGAAAUGCAUAGAUAUCACGCAGAACUCCGAUUGCGAAGGCAGCGUACCGGCGCCCAACUGACGCUGAAGCACGAAGGCGUGGGUAACGAAUAGG